rnacentral:rRNA from 1 species
GUACACUCCUACGGGAGGCAGCAGUGGGGAAUAUUGCACAAUGGGCGCAAGCCUGAUGCAGCCAUGCCGCGUGUAUGAAGAAGGCCUUCGGGUUGUAAAGUACUUUCAGCGGGGAGGAAGGCAAUACGGUUAAUAACCGUGUUGAUUGACGUUACCCGCAGAAGAAGCACCGGCUAACUCCGUGCCAGCAGCCGCGGUAAUACGGAGGGUGCAAGCGUUAAUCGGAAUUACUGGGCGUAAAGCGCACGCAGGCGGUCUGUCAAGUCGGAUGUGAAAUCCCCGGGCUCAACCUGGGAACUGCAUUCGAAACUGGCAGGCUUGAGUCUUGUAGAGGGGGGUAGAAUUCCAGGUGUAGCGGUGAAAUGCGUAGAGAUCUGGAGGAAUACCGGUGGCGAAGGCGGCCCCCUGGACAAAGACUGACGCUCAGGUGCGAAAGCGUGGGGAGCAAACAGGAUUAGAUACCCGAGUAGUCCCAU